AGGAAAUCCAAGCUCAGAAUGGAUAAUUCACCUAAGGAAAUACAGAUGGAAAAUGGCGGAGCUGCAAUCUAAACCCAGGUCCAUCUGAUAAUAAAGCCCAGGCUCUCCUCAACCAACCUCAGAUCUAGGAUGCUUCCAGUGAGACUCCGUGCUCCCUCCCUGUGUGGUUCCCAUGGCCUUUCUUUACCUCAAGAAAAUGCUGAAUGAAAAGCAAUGGUACCAGAAGUUUCUAGAAGUUACUUAUAUGGCAAGUGCAAGUAUUUCAGAACACAUUUGAGAUUCAGGAAGGAGGCAAAAAGGCUUCUGCUGAGCAGUCAAAAUGACGAAGUUUGUAAACUUCACUUUAUUUGGGUCCCUGCUGAAAGUCUACCUACUCUUCAAAAACAAUAACAACAACAAAAAAUGGGAACACACUAUUAACGCUGUUCUGCACACGUAUUUUUCAAUUAACAAUUGGUGAGUAUUCCCUUUUAGCGCACAUAGAUCUACCUCAUUCACUUAAGGGCUGCGUAGUGCUGCAUUGUGUGAAUGCACCAAAUGUGUAUUUAUCCUGCAUUCUCUAGGUGGACAUUUUAGACACUUACAAGGGUUGGGGCUCAGAAAGUGAUAUCCCAAAGGCUGAUGUUUUGACAUGCUGAGGGCCCUCAGAAGCCGCCCCCGAAUCAAGGUCCCUCUAACUUCUUGUUCCCCAUACCUGCCCCACCACCAAACACAGGGAGGGACUGUCUGUCUUUGGAAAUUUCCUCAUCUGACCAAGAAAGCAUCUUUCCAAAAGAAAUGCAAUUGUCUUAAACAUCCUCCCUAGAGGUCUCAUCAAAUAACCAAGAAAGAUAAACCACCAGAAGAGAUGAGACUGGGAAUCAUCACCACACCCAGACAGACUUCAUCUAUUCUUCUGAGGGCAGCUCCGAGAGAUUGCCUGGAGGACUUUAUCUGCUUAAUAAGACAACCUUUGUUCCUGUGCAGCUCCGCCCCUCACCUUCCUGUAAUAUCUGCCUCCCGCCUCCCCAGUCCAUACAUCUCCUCCCUCCUGUAUGAAAAAGGGUAUACAAGCUUCUGUGCCCCAUUGGGUUAUUGGGAAAUCAUUCUCCUGUGAUUCCCCUGUGCCAUGCACACUAAAAUAAAAUUUUGUAUGCCUUUUCUCCUAUC